rnacentral:lncRNA from 1 species
CUCCUCCUCAUCCCAUCUGAGAAAACUCCUCGGUCGUCCAGCCCGGACUACCAUGCCCGCACAGGAUCUCGUAGCCCCUCGAUCCAAUCUUCGCCCUCGCCGGCGCGGGCGGCCUUGCCACUCUCCCGAGAAAAAUCCAUCUGAGACCGAGCCUGCGACCAGCGCCCUCACGAGAAGAUGAUGGCGUACGCAGCGUUAUCGAGGUCGACGAGUCCCUCGAUCCAAUCCUCGCCCUCGCCAUCACCGGCGUCGGCGUCCCCUCCCGUCUCCGUGCGGUCAUCCGGCUCAUCUCCGAUGACUAUGUCAUCGGUGCGGUCGCCGAGAAGAUGAUGGCGUACGCAGCGUUAUCGAGGUCGAGGAGUCCCUCGAUCCAAUCCUCGCCCUCGCCAUCACCGGCGUCGGCGUCCCCGCCCGUCUCCGUGGGGUCAUCCGGCUCAUCUCCGAUGACUAUGUCAUCGGUGCGGUCGCCGCGCCGGACAAUAACAACGCUCGCUCAUCGCUC